rnacentral:lncRNA from 1 species
GGACAGAAUUGCUGUAGGAAAACAAAAGGGGGAAAUAAAUUUACUUGCAUCUAUGGAGAACUUGAAAAAUUACCUAAGACUCCAUUGCAUGCUGAGAGAUGCUGACACGAGGAGCUGCUGGAAAUGAAAGGUGCAGGAGCACGGGUUUUGCUCAUGACAUCCUUUGAAGCAUUUUAUGGAUUCAUAAGAGUAUGUUGGGUUCUGCUUCAGCUCUUGGAUUACUUCAAUCAAAUAUCC